rnacentral:rRNA from 1 species
AGAGUUUGAUCAUGGCUCAGGACGAACGCUGGCGGCGUGCUUAACACAUGCAAGUCGAACGAUGAACCACUUCGGUGGGGAUUAGUGGCGAACGGGUGAGUAACACGUGGGCAAUCUGCCCUUCACUCUGGGACAAGCCCUGGAAACGGGGUCUAAUACCGGAUAGCACUUCCACUCGCAUGGGUGGGGGUUGAAAGCUCCGGCGGUGAAGGAUGAGCCCGCGGCCUAUCAGCUUGUUGGUGAGGUAAUGGCUCACCAAGGCGACGACGGGUAGCCGGCCUGAGAGGGCGACCGGCCACACUGGGACUGAGACACGGCCCAGACUCCUACGGGAGGCAGCAAUGGGGAAUAUUGCACAAUGGGCGAAAGCCUGAUGCAGCGACGCCGCGUGAGGGAUGACGGCCUUCGGGUUGUAAACCUCUUUCAGCAGGGGAAGAAGCGAAAGUGACGGUACCUGCAGAAGAAGCGCCGGCUAACUACGUGCCAGCAGCCGCGGUA